CGGGCGCGGCGCUAUUUCCAGCCUUGCCGGAGGCUUCGCUCGCACUUCGCUGGGAGCCUUCCCGGCGCGUGAGCCGGAUCCGGUGGCACCGCGGGGAAGAGACAGGACCGGGCGGUGGCGGCAGAGACAGGGGGACGCACCCGGUGCAGAAGAUCCAAUAGGAGCACGCCGCCGCAACCUCUCCCGCGCGCUCCGGUCGCCGACUCUACGCCGAUCGCCCACUCCCCGCACCUUGGACUACACCGGGAAAAAGACGCAGCCUGGCCCGAACUGGGGCGGAGAUCCUUCUUGCUUCCCAAGAGCUCGGGAGGGAAGAUUCUCCCGCCGCCGAGAACCCCGCCGGACUGGAGGAACCCGUGGCCUGGAGAGCGCUGGCUGUGCCAGGGCUCGCCUCCAGGACCCUUCGCUCCUCUUCUUAACCCUGGAUGCUGGACCCCAGCCUGAUGGAUGUCUGGUGUGGAUAAUGAGGGAAGAACGUGCCUUUUACACCCAAGAGGUGACCCCGGAGCGUGCCCCGGAUGACCCCACGACUUGGAACGAUGCGACUAGCCUGCAUGUUCUCGUCCAUCCUGCUGUUUGGAGCUGCGGGCCUGCUCCUCUUCAUCAGCCUCCAGGACCCUAUAGAGCUCAGCCCCCAGCAAGUUCCAGGUGAGCCCCGAAGUUGCUACUUAACACUGCAGGCUGCAUGCAGACCUUCCUCAUGGCCCUGGUGUGCCAGGGCUGGGUGACGGUAACCCUUGUAAACAGAGAAAGGGCCCUGGCUUCCUUC
rnacentral:lncRNA from 1 species